AGGGACCGCUUGCUAUAUAAUGCCUGAAAAUUUUUGUAUGCAAUGCCAUUUGGCUAAUUGUCUUAGUCAGUGAAAACAACUACCAAGGUAGUACUUCAAAAUUUGCGAGUAUCAUGUAAAUUUGAUGGACGAGAAGGUCUUACGAAGACCACGUGUUCGUCAAAGUUCGCCCGGUUAUGUUUUCAGUAUGUUUCUUACUGAUGUAUACAACAAAUUUGCAAGUUGUUGCGGGAGAGUUUUAUAAAGUUUCUAUAUUUCAGUUUUCCCAUGUCAGUAGUUAUAAUUUACUUUCUGAUUGGAGUGUCUGGAUAUUGAUUAAUGUAGUCUUUCACUAUCUGCUUGUAGGAAUGGAUAUAUUGCUUCCAGUGUUGCUGAUUCCAUAGUGUCAUUUCAUUGGGUUUUGAAGUUCUUGGAGUUAGGUUUUCAAUUUGGUUUCCUUUGUGGGUCUGACAGUCACUUUGAGGAUUCUACUGGUCUUCGGUUGGAGAAUGGCUUGUUUUCAACUUUACAAUUGAAGGGCAAUAUUAUGUUCAACUCCAUUCCAUGGUCAUGUAAUGGUGAACACUAUUUGCUAUUCUAGGAUGUUUGGGUUAUGAGCUGAAACACUGUCAUUGCCAGGUGUAACUUUUGGUCUCUGCAGUGGUUUGUUGGUUGACUAAUUCCCUUGAAUUCCUGUAGGGUGUUGGGUGCUAUGUGGUUGUCUUUUGUUAGUUUUGUGCUUAAGCUGUUUCUUUGGGUUGUAUUGCAGUUAUCUUGUCUGAGCCCUUCCAUUGAUCUUUAUUGGCGUUUUAGUUCCUCAUUCCAAGCAGUUUAAUGGGGGUAGCGUUUUGCGCUUAGUAAUUGGGAUAGUUGGUGGUAGACUGUUUCGAAACUUUACUUUGAUGGAAUUGUAACAUUUUGACAUUCUUAAUAUUUCUGUGGUUAUCCGUUAUUCUUACUCAUAAAUGUGCUGACAGGUGUUUUUAUGCCUUUCGUCGUCGUUCAGUAAUAAUGGUUUUCGUAUGUUAUUUAGUUGCGGCAUUGUCGAUUGUGUCCCAAGAUGAAAACGAUGGCUGGAUAUACGAAGCGAAGAAUAUUUAUGUUUUAGAUCCUGGUUGUAGGGUGAGUGACUCCAACCCACAGUCCUUGGUUUUGUUCGGCUUCGGGUAUGUUGCAAAGGUAAUUAUCGGAAAUUACUGGUUUGUAAGUGGAAGUCGGCUUUGCUGCAAAAUAAAUUUUCAAUCUUGAUGUAA